rfam:Schistosoma margrebowiei strain Zambia genome assembly, scaffold: SMRZ_contig0000127
GUCCGGCUGACGAGUCCCAAACAAAACGAAACGCGUGUCAAACCGGAU